rnacentral:rRNA from 1 species
CCUACGGUAGGCAGCAGUGGGGGAUAUUGCACAAUGGAGGAAACUCUGAUGCAGCGACGCCGCGUGAGGGAAGGCGGUCUUCGGAUUGUAAACCUCUGUCUUUGGGGAAGACAAUGACGGUACCCAAAGAGGAAGAUCCGGCUAACUACGUGCCAGCAGCCGCGGUACUACGUAGGGAGCGAGCGUUUGCCGGAAUUACUGGGUGUAAAGGGAGCGUAGGCGGGCGAGAAAGUUUAAUGUUAAAUCUACCUGCUUAACUGGUAGCUGCGUUCAAAACUGCUUGUCUUGAGGGAAGUAGAGGCAGGCGGAAUGCCUAGUGUAGCGGUGAAAGUCGUAGAUAUCACGCAGAACUCAGAUUGCGAAGGCAGCAUACCGGCGCCCAACUGACGCUGAAGCACGAAAGCGGGGGUAUCGAACAGGAUUAGAUACCCUUGUAGUC